GCUGGCGGCGUGCUUAACACAUGCAAGUCGAACGAGAACGGCUCUAGCUUGCUAGAGUGUCAGCUAAGUGGCGGACGGGUGAGUAAUGUAUAGUUAAUUUGCCCCUUAGAGAGGGAUAACAGUUAGAAAUGACUGCUAAUACCUCAUACUCCUUCUCUCUGAAAGUAGAGUUGGGAAAACUCCGGCGCUAAGGGAUGGGGCUUUACGGUAUCAGGUAGUUGGUGAGGUAAGAGCUCACCAAGCCAAUGACGCCUAGCUGGUCUGAGAGGAUGAUCAGCCACACUGGAACUGAGACACGGUCCAGACUCCUACGGGAGGCAGCAGUGGGUAAUAUUGCACAAUGGGGGGAACCCUGAUGCAGCAACGCCGCGUGGAGGAUGACGCAUUUCGGUGUGUAAACUCCUUUUAUCAAGGAAGAAAUUUGACGGUACUUGAUGAAUAAGCACCGGCUAACUCCGUGCCAGCAGCCGCGGUAAUACGGAGGGUGCAAGCGUUACUCGGAAUCACUGGGCGUAAAGGACGCGUAGGCGGUUUGAUAAGUCUGAUGUGAAAUCCUAUGGCUUAACCAUAGAACUGCAUACAAAACUGUCAAACUAGAAUAAGGGAGAGGUGAAUGGAAUUAGUGGUGUAGGGGUAAAAUCCGUAGAGAUCACUAGGAAUACUCAUUGCGAAGGCGAUUCACUGGAACUUAAUUGACGCUGAGGCGUGAAAGCGUGGGGAGCAAACAGGAUUAGAUACCCUGGUAGUCCACGCCCUAAACGAUGUACACUAGUUGUUGCGAUGCAAGUCAUUGCAGUGAUGCAGUUAACACAUUAAGUGUACCGCCUGGGGAGUACGGUCGCAAGAUUAAAACUCAAAGGAAUAGACGGGGACCCGCACAAGCGGUGGAGCAUGUGGUUUAAUUCGAAAAUACGCGAAGAACCUUACCUAGACUUGAAAUCCUUGGAAUCUUUCAGAGAUGAGAGAGUGCUAGUUUACUAGAACCAAGUGACAGGUGCUGCACGGCUGUCGUCAGCUCAUGUCGUGAGAUGUUGGGUUAAGUCCCGCAACGAGCGCAACCCUCGUGAUUAGUUGCUAACGGUUAAGCUGAGAACUCUAAAAAGACUGCCUGGGCAACCAGGAGGAAGGUGAGGACGACGUCAAGUCAUCAUGGCCCUUAUGACCAGGGCUACACACGUGCUACAAUGGCUAGGACAAUGAGAAGCGAAACUGCGAAGUGGAGCAAAUCUAUAAACCUAGUCCCAGUUCGGAUAGCAGUCUGCAACUCGACUGCUUGAAGUUGGAAUCGCUAGUAAUCGUAGAUCAGCAAUGCUACGGUGAAUACGUUCCCGGGUCUUGUACUCACCGCCCGUCACACCAUGGGAGUUGAAUUCACCCGAAGCCGGAAUACCAAGAAGGUUACUGUCCACGGUGGGUUUAGCGACUG
rnacentral:rRNA from 1 species